UAGAUAUAGAUCAGACGUUAGGGAGAAAAGGGGGAAGAAUAGAAAUUGAUAAAACGAGACAACACGAAAAAUUCAUGUAAUAUAAACAAACCUAAUGUAGUGAUUUACAUAUAUGUGUAAUCUCUGUGUGGAACUGUGUGGAACUGUGAUUCGUCGUUUGAAGAAAAGAUGGGAAAGAAAAGAAAUAUUCAACCACCACCAAUAAUGCCAGGGCGGAUUAAAGUGGAAAUAAAAGAUGAAAUAGGCGAUAGUGAUGUUCUUGUAGCAAGGGAUCGUUUAAAGGGUGCUCUUCGAGAAUUAUUACAGCAUAGUGAUACAGGUUCUUCCGCAGAUUCAGGUGAAGAAAAUUCGAUUCAUGAUAAUUAUAAACACCCAAUGAAAAAGAUGGCGAAAUCUGUUAACCUUCAGCAACCACAACGAAAAAUCAGACGUCGUCGACAAAUACAAACUGAUACAGUGUUUCAUCAUACUUACGUGAUGAAGCUUUUUGAUCGCAGUGUUGAUUUAGCUCAAUUUCAAGAGGAUACGCCGCUUUAUCCUAUAUGUCGUGCCUGGAUGGCUAAUCAACCAAGAAAUCCUAAUUUGGUUCCCAAAGUUCGUAGUCCUAGCCCAGAAAUAGUUAAUGAAGUUAAUAUAAUGAACAAUCUAAUUAAUGCUAAUGGGGAGAUAAAUGAUGUCCAUUAUUUGCCAUCUCCUUUACCCCGUGUGGAGGCUAUACCAAGAAAUCGCAUUCCGUCUCCUAUACUUGGAGCAAAGGAUGAUUUGAACUUGGAUUAUGAAGGACAAACUCUCAAAUCGCGAGAACAAUUAGUGAAAGAACAUUCCACACGGUGGAACGCUAUUCGCAAAAAGUGGCACCAACAGGCACAUAAAAAUGAACGACGUUAUAUACAGAGUGCUACUAUCCUUAGCACUAUUUUUACAAAAGCACAAUCGGAAUUUGAAUAGCAGAGACGUGGCAGUCCAAUGACUGCCGAUUUUUCCGUCAUUGAUAAUUCCGUUUCUGAUCAUUUUUAUUACGUCAUCAAGGAAUAAUUUCUUAUUUGUGCUAUUUUUCUAUCUGUCUUCAUUGAAGAAACUUGUGAUCAUGUUUUAACCAAGUUCUGAUACAACAAAUUAUCUGAUAUCAAUAUAAAAGAAUAAAUAUUGCAAUAAUGCUUGUAAUUGUUUCUUUGAAUAAAACUUAUUAUGUAUUAUGG
rnacentral:misc_RNA from 1 species